GGGCGUGUGGCUCAGUUGGUAGAGCGUUCGCUUAGCAUACCCUUCUGUAUGCGAAAGGUCCUGGGUUCGAUUCCCAGCUCGUCCA
rnacentral:tRNA from 2 species